rnacentral:sRNA from 1 species
UCAUCGUCAUCGAAUGCCGGUGGUUGGCCU